UGCGAUGUACUGUGUGGGGGGAG
rnacentral:piRNA from 1 species